GCAUAUCAAUAAGCGGAAGGAAAAAAGAAAGCCAACAGGGAUUGCCCUAGUAACCGGCGAGGUGAAGCGGCAACAGCUCAAAUUUGAAAUCUGGCGUCUUUGGCGUCCGAGUUGUAAUUUGCAGAGGGCGCUUUGGCAUUGGCAGCGGUCCAAGUUCCUUGGAACAGGACGUCACAGAGGGGUGAGAAUCCCGUACGUGGUCGCUAGCCUUUACCGUGUAAAGCCCCUUCGACGAGUCGAGUUGUUUGGGAAUGCAGCUCUAAAUGGGAGGUAAAUUUCUUCUAAAGCUAAAUACUGGCCAGAGACCGAUAGCGCACAAGUAGAGUGAUCGAAAGAUGAAAAGCACUUUGGAAAGAGAGUUAAAAAGCACGUGAAAUUGUUGAAAGGGAAGCGCUUGCAGCCAGACUUGCCUGUAGUUGCUCAUCCGGGUUUUUACCCGGUGCACUCUUCUAUAGGCAGGCCAGCAUCAGUUUGGGCGGUUGGAUAAAGGUCUCUGUCACGUACCUCCUCUCGGGGAGAACUUAUAGGGGAGACGUAAUGCAACCAGCCUGGACUGAGGUCCGCGCAUCUGCUAGGAUGCUGGCGUAAUGGCUGUAAGCGGCCCGUCUUGAAACACGGACCAAGGAGUCUAACAUCUAUGCGAGUGUUUGGGUGUCAAGCCCGAGCGCGUAAUGAAAGUGAACGGAGGUGGGAACCUUUCGGGGUGCACCAUCGACCGAUCCUGAUGUCUUCGGAUGGAUUUGAGUAAGAGCAUAGCUGUUGGGACCCGAAAGAUGGUGAACUAUGCUUGAAUAGGGUGAAGCCAGAGGAAACUCUGGUGGAGGCUCGCAGCGGUUCUGACGUGCAAAUCGAUCGUCAAAUUUGGGCAUAGGGGCGAAAGACUAAAUNGAAACUAUCUAGUAGCUGGUUCCUGCGA
rnacentral:rRNA from 1 species